CGAUCAAGUAUUAUAAAAAUAAAAAAUAUACUCAAUAAAAAUUAUAUUAUUACAGAUUAUUUUAUUGUUAAAUAAUAAUGGAUGUUAUUUUUAUAAUUAUUAUUAUAUUUUCACUGAUAUUUGUAACAAUUGUUAUUUUUAUUGUAAAACAGAUUUGUAAAAAUUGUGGAAAUAAUGGAUCAAAUCAUAUGAACAAUCAAACAGCUUUCUCAAAUGAUGAUCACGUGUAUGGGUUUGGUACAACAAAUAUAUAUGAUGAUUAUAAUUCUACUGCGUAUAUAAGUGAUAAAUAUAAUGAUCCAGUAUCAGGAUAUCAUGAUACGUCGUCAUCAGAUCAUGGUAUUAGUCAUUGCGAUACUAAUAAUGUAGAUAGUGGACAUUGCAGUAGUGGAGAUACUGGAGGUGGUGAUACUGGAUGCUGUGACUCUGGAGGUUGCGAUUCUGGAGGUGGUGAUGGCGGAGGUAGUUGUGAUUGAAUAUAUGUAAGUAAUAUGAGUACCUGAUAUAUAAAUAUGUAUGUAUGUAUUUAAAUCCAAGGAUAUAAUGGAAUAUGCAAAAAAAUAAUUUUAUAUAUUAAUAAUCAAACUGUUUAUAAUUUUUAAAAUUUAUGCUCACUCUAAACUCCAAGAUCUAAAAGAUCUAGAGUCAAAGUCAAGACAAUUGAGAUAAAAUAAGAGGCCUUAAAAUUAAUAUAAAAAAGCAUGUUUAUCCUAAAAUAAUAUAUUAUUUUUAUGAAUUAUUUAUUUUUAUUUGUAUCCGUUUUUAAGAGACAUUAGGUAGGGGUGAAAUGGGACAACUAUAAAAUUUAAUUUUUAAUGGGUUAAAAUCACAUAAAGUCCAGAGAAUCUGAAGCUAAAAUUUAAUUUGUUAUAAAAAAGAAGUUAUUGAUUUUUUAAUAAAUUAAAUAGCUGAGACAAGAUAAUUAAUUUAUUGAAUUUGAAAUUUUAACUUUAUUUUUUAAGCUGGAAAAUUUUAUUCACAAAAAAUUGUAAAAAUCACCGAUUAAAUAUUUUUGUGUUCUAUUUAUAAAAUAACAUUAAAUUGCGAUUUUUUUUUAUACAACUUUUUAAGUUGAUAAAAAUAAUUUUUUACUAUGUUUUUAACAACGUGAGCUUCGAAGAAUGAUAAUUUGAAUUUUAAAGCGAUAAAAAAAAUUUUAUUAUAUUCAGAAUUGGGAAAUAUUAUAAUUUUCGACAGUCUGAUUUUCGGAAGCGAAUAUCUUAGAAAUGGUCAAAUUUUCAAAAAUUUUAAAUCAGACCUUUUUUAUAGAGCAUUCAAUUUUCUACCAAAACAUGGAUUCAAAAUUUCUGAAUUCUCACCGGCUGACAUGUUAUAAAAUUCAAAACGAGCAAAAACAAAUUCUUCGAAUUCUAUUACACUUGACCUUGGAUGUCUUUUGAAUGUUAAAAUUUAUACAAAAAUCAUAGACCUUUUCUGUCGGUCAGUAAAUUUGCUAUAAAAUUUUUCAAUAUAAUUUUUCUGUAUCUUUAUUUAUUCGGAAGUUAUGAAUUUUUUACCACGUUACUGAAUAAAAAAUAGAAAAUUAUACAGCCACUUCUUAAGGAGGAUCUAUAGUAAUUUUUGUCCAAACUUUUCUCUCAAACAAAGCCUCUAAACGCAAAAUUAAAAUAAGACUCGAUGCAUUACUCUAUAAUCUGGCAAUCUAAGUUUUCAUUUUUCAAAAAUAUUUAUCUGUUUAAGAAAAAAAAUUUCCAUUUACUCAGCGAGUGCAACGAGGACAGUAUCGUUCGUUGACGAGUGUGAUAGAGAAAAAAGUUCAGACCCCUCUUAUCAAUAUUAAGAGCUCAAAUCUUAACUGGCGCCAUGUUUUAAGAUACUCGAUUUUUUAAUGUUCAAAAAGAAAAAAAUCAGUCCCUCUAUUUGAAACAGUCUGAUAUAUAUUUAUAAUAGGACCCAUUGACGAAAUAUACCUUUAUAUAUAUAAAUAUAUGUGUGUGUGUGUGAGUAUCUAUAUGUAUUAUAUAUAUGAAGGUAUAUUUUGUCUAUGGGUCCUAUUAUAUAUACAAUAUAUAUAUAUAUGUCUACUAUAAUGCUCUAGACUCCGUAAAAAUUUGGCGGAUUGCAGAACAAGUUUACGUGUAAACAUCAUCAGAAAAAUUUAGACUAACAUAUAUGUAUAUACUAAUAUGUAUAUACACAAAUAUGAUAAAUAUUUUUAUAAGUAAUGCAAUAAUAAUACUAAUGAAGAAAAAAUAAAAUUGUAGAAAUUUAAAUUUCAAAGCUGCGGUAAAUUUAAAAUAAUAAAUAAUCAUUAAACUGUAACUAAAAAAUGACGGACGUCUCAACGAUUUAUAUAGUUCUUAUAACUAUAGUCGCGAUAUGUUAUAUAUCAGUAAUGGGAUAUAUUAUUUAUAUAAAUUGCUGUACUGAUCAAGGAUGGAGUAGAUCGAAUUUUACUGAUCUCACUAAUAUGCAAGCAGCCGCUUCUCCAGUCAUUGCAGUUAUCAACUGACAAAAUUCUGUAUAUAAAAAUUUAUUACUGCAUUUUGAUAAGUAUAUCUGCCAAUAAAUACCUCAAGUACAUUUUUUUGUCAUAUAUAAUUUAUGUAUUAUAUAAAUUUUGAUUAUAUAUUUUUUUAUCCUAAUGGUAUUUGUUAAAAAAAAAUGAUAAUAAAAAAAAUUUUUAUAUUAAAUAUAUCCUUUAAUUGGAGAAUUAAUAUGUAUGGAUGCAGAUAAGCGGUAACGUGACGAUCGACAAAAAUUUGAUUUUUAAUAUUUUUUAGGCUGAAUGAUUCUAUAGUAACUUGAAAAUUUUUUAAAAUCAUAAAAUAAAAAAAUUGUUGACACAAAUAAAUUAUCUGAGAUAAAACUUUUUGAAAAAUUGAGUUAAGUAACUUGAGUUUAAAUACUAGAUUGCAGAGAGUCAGUCAUUAACUAGAAUUAAAAUUCAAGUAACUUGCUGCGUUAUUGCAACAAAUAAUAAAUAAACUUUUUUAAAUUUCAAAUUAAAAUUUCGCUAAAAAAAUCAGUCUCCAAAUUAUAGAAAUAAAUAAAAAUAAUAAUUUUAUACUAAAUAUUAAUAAUUAAUCAAUUGAUAUAAUUAUUAUAAAUAUAUCUUAUAUAUGAAUAUAUAUAUAAUGUAAAAUAAAUAUAAAGAAAGACGUCAAAGACAUCCAUUACGUGAAAAUUCAUCAACAACUGGUGACAGGAAGUAAUUCAAAAUAUUUUUUUGAGUAAUCUGGCGUUAAAAAAAAAUUUUUGUAAAUCAUAAAAUAAAAAAAAUUAUUGACACAAAUAAAUUAUCUGGGAUAAAAAAUUUUGUAAAAUCGAGUUAAGUAACUUGAGUUUAAAUACUAGAUUGCAGAGAACCAGUCAUUAACAAAAAUUAAAAUUCAAGUAAUUUGCUGCGUUAUUGCAACAAAUAAUGAAUAAACUUUUCUUAUUACAAGUUUUUAAUUUUUUUGUAAUUAACUUUUUACAUUAAAAUAUUUCUGCUGUAAUUAUUUUAGCAGUACAGUGUCAAGUUACUUGAGAUUAAUUGGAUUUAAUAGACAAAUAUGAUUAGUAAUUUUGGAAAACCGAGUCAAGUCUUCCGAAACGUUUUUAAUAAUUAGAUUCGCUAUUCUAUAUUUCGUAAUACAAAAUUUUAGUUGAUUUUUUAUGGAUCUGCAUAUUUUCGAUCCUCAAACUAUUAUAUUUUUUUUGUUGAACAUGAUUAACAAAAGCACAUGGAAGCAAUUUCUGUUCUAAUAAUUUCCAGAUAAAUUUUAUCAAAAAUAGUUUAAAAUUUUUAAACCUAAUUUUUCAAAAUAAUGACUAUGUUAAUUGUCACGUUAUUGCUCGUCUACAUCGAUUUAUUUAAAAAAAAACUGUCAGUGUCAAUGUCAAAAACGCCCUUCUGACUAUGAAAAUUUUUGUAGUCCGCAAGGUUGGUAGGUACGAAUAUUUUGAAUAAACAGAUCAAUAUAAAGAUGGCACAUCGUAGUAGAAUUAUUUCAAAGUACCCAAACACUGCCAACAAUAAUUUAAAUAUUAUUUAUUAUUUAACAUAGAAUAAUGAAUUAUUUUCAAUUACUUCUCAUUUUAUUUGGAGUCAUGAUUAUUAUUGUUUUAACAAUAACCAUAAUAUUAUAUUGCGCUCAAUACUGUGAAAAUAAACUUUUACCGAAAGUUAUUAAAAAUAAAAAAAAAAAUGAUAAAAAUUAUGAUUAUAGAAAAACAGAUACAGGUAUCACAAUAGACGAAUAUGAUGAUUUUAAUACAGCAAAUUUAAAUUAUCAAAUAAGUCACAUAAUUGCCCAAAAUAAUGAUCAUUUCUUUGAUCCGGGACAUUAUUAUGCAGGGGGAUGUGACUUGACUGCAGAUUUUGGUGGUGGAUGUGAUGCUGGAGGGUGUGACGCUGGAGGAUGUGACUAAAUAAAUUUGUAAUUAAUAAUAAUAAUCUAGUCCAGCAGAAAUAAUAAUUAUGAUAAUGAAAAAUUGUGUUAAUAUAAUAAUGAUAAGUUAUUUUAUA